CAAUAGCGUAUAUUAAAGUUGUUGCAGUUAAAAAGCUCGUAGUUGGAUUUCUGGGAGGGUGCCAAUGUCCGUCAACGUGCGUGUGCAGCGGCGCCCUUCCAUCCUUCUGUUAACGCCUCUGGGCAUUUACUUGCCGGUGACGGGCUCAGAUAUUUUACCUUGAGAAAAUUAGAGUGUUUCAGGCAGGCUAGGCCGGAAUACAUUAGCAUGGAAUAAUAGAAUAGGACUAUGGUCUCUUUGUUGGUUUGAGGGACUAUGGUAAUGAUUAAUAGGGAUAGUUGGGGGCAUUAGUAUUUAAUUGUCAGAGGUGGAAUUCUCAGAUUUGUUAAAGACUAACUUAUGCGAAAGCAUUUGCCAAGGAUGUUUUCAUUAA
rnacentral:rRNA from 1 species